UGGGGAAUAUUGCACAAUGGGCGCAAGCCUGAUGCAGCCAUGCCGCGUGUGUGAAGAAGGCCUUCGGGUUGUAAAGCACUUUCAGCGAGGAGGAAGGUGGUGAGCUUAAUACGCUCAUCAAUUGACGUUACUCGCAGAAGAAGCACCGGCUAACUCCGUGCCAGCAGCCGCGGUAAUACGGAGGGUGCAAGCGUUAAUCGGAAUUACUGGGCGUAAAGCGCACGCAGGCGGUUUGUUAAGUCAGAUGUGAAAUCCCCGGGCUCAACCUGGGAACUGCAUUUGAAACUGGCAAGCUAGAGUCUCGUAGAGGGGGGUAGAAUUCCAGGUGUAGCGGUGAAAUGCGUAGAGAUCUGGAGGAAUACCGGUGGCGAAGGCGGCCCCCCUGGACGAAGACUGACGCUCAGGUGCGAAAGCGUGGGGCAGCAAACAGGAUUAGAUACCCUGGUAGUCCAGCGCUGUAAACGAUGUCGAUUUGGAGGUUGUGCCCUUGAGGCGUGGCUUCCGGAGCUAACGCGUUAAAUCGACCGCCUGGGGAGUACGGCCGCAAGGUUAAAACUCAAAUGAAUUGACGGGUCUAGCUGUUCC
rnacentral:rRNA from 1 species